GAUGAAGAACGUAGCGAAAUGCGAUAAGUAACGUGAAUUGCAGAAUUCAGUGAAUCAUCGAAUCUUUGAACGCACAUUGCGCCCGCCAGUAUUCUGGCGGGCAUGCCUGUUCGAGCGUCAUUUCAACCAUCAAGCCCCAGGCUUGUGUUGGGGACCUGCGGCUGCCGCAGGACCUGAAAACCAGUGGCGGGCUCGCUGUCACACCGAGCGUAGUAGAUCUCAUCUCGCUCAGGGCGUGCUGCGGGUUCCGGCCGUUAAACCACCUUCAUAACCCAAGGUUGACCUCGGAUCAGGUAGGAAGACCCGCUGAACUUAAGCAUAUCAAUAAGCGGAGGA
rnacentral:misc_RNA from 1 species